rnacentral:pre_miRNA from 1 species
AAGCCCUUACCCCACUAACUUAUAGAUUUUUAUCUGUUAGAGGGGGAAGGAAUAGC